rnacentral:rRNA from 1 species
CCCCUAGAUGUUCUGGGCCGCACGCGCGCUACACUGAACAGUUCAACAAGUCUUAACCUUGGCCGAUAGGUCUGGGUAAUCUUUGAACGCUGUUCGUGAUUGGGAUAGACCUUUGCAAUUAUGGGUCUUCAACGAGGAAUUCCUAGUAAACGCAAGUCAUCAGCUUGCAUUGAUUACGUCCCUGCCCUUUGUACACACCGCCCGUCGCACCUACCGAUUGAAUGGUCCGGUGAAAUCUCGGGACGGCGGCUUGGUCGCUUGCGUCCGACUGCUGAAACUUGAUUAAACCAUAUCAUUUAGAGGAAGGUGAAGUCGUAAUA